rnacentral:rRNA from 1 species
CCGCCAGCUAAGGUCCCAAAGUCAUGGUUAAGUGGGAAACGAUGUGGGAAGGCACAGACAGCCAGGAUGUUGGCUUAGAAGCAGCCAUCAUUUAAAGAAAGCGUAAUAGCUCACUGGUCGAGUCGGCCUGCGCGGAAGAUGUAACGGGGCUAAACCAUGCACCGAAGCUGCGGCAGCGACACUAUGUGUUGUUGGGUAGGGGAGCGUUCUGUAAGCCUGCGAAGGUGACCUGUGAGGGUUGCUGGAGGUAUCAGAAGUGCGAAUGCUGACAUAAGUAACGAUAAAGCGGGUGAAAAGCCCGCUCGCCGGAAGACCAAGGGUUCCUGUCCAACGUUAAUCGGGGCAGGGUGAGUCGACCCCUAAGGCGAGGCCGAAAGGCGUAGUCGAUGGGAAACAGGUUAAUAUUCCUGUACUUGGUGUUACUGCGAAGGGGGGACGGAGAAGGCUAUGUUAGCCGGGCGACGGUUGU